GUAAAUAAACAUUUUAAAAAAUUAAAAAAAAAAAAAAGAAUAGCUAACACUGAGGUAGCACUUGUGUGGUAGAUGUUACUCUUAAGUGUUUUUCCACAGUACUUCUAAUUCAUUUAAUAUUCAUAAUAGCCUUAUGAAGUAAAUACUAUUAUCAUCUCCAUUUUAUAGAUGAGGAAAUUGAGGGAUGAAGACUUCGAAUAAUUUUCCUACAGUUACAAAACUGGUUAGCAGUGGAGCAGGAUUCAGACCCACAUAGUUGGUCCCAGAGUCCCUUCUUUUAAACAUUAUACUAUAAUUAGGUGUAUGACUUUGAACAAGCCUCCUUUCUGUAAUUUAGGUUCCUAGCUCACAGAAAUGAUAAAUCAUAGGGUGUGGAUUAAAUUAUUCUACAAAUGUAAUCUUACUUUGCACCUGUUAGUAGGAGAUACAACUUGUAAGAAAUGCAUAUAUUUUUCUCAAAUAGCAAAGAAAAAAAGUUUAAUGAUAAUACCCAGUAGAAGUAAAUGUGAGAUAAAGAAAAAUUAUGGUCUCAUGCAUUGUGGUUUGGGGCACUCCUUUUUGAGAGUGUUUUUGUAAAUGGUAUCAAGAGCUAUUAAACGAAUUAUAGCCUUUCACCAAAUAAAUAAGCUUUUAAUCCUGA